ACGUAGGGGGCGAGCGUUGUCCGGAAUUACUGGGCGUAAAGGGUGCGUAGGCGGCCUUUUAAGUUGGAUGUGAAAUACCCGGGCUUAACCUGGGGGGUGCAUCUAAUACUGGGAGGCUAGAGUGCAGUAGAGGAAAGCGGAAUUCGUAGUGUAGCGGUGAAAUGCAUAGAUAUUAGGAGGAACACCGGUUGCGAAGGCAGCAUGCUGGGCUAUAACUGACGCUGAUGCACGAAAGCGUGGGGAGCAAACAG
rnacentral:rRNA from 1 species